rnacentral:rRNA from 1 species
CCAAUAGCGUAUAUUAAAGUUGCUGCAGUUAAAAAGCUCGUAGUUGAAUUUCGGGACUAAUAUGUCGGUCGUGCCUCGGUACGUACUGGUAUUUAUGGUUUCUCCCUUCUGACGAACCUUGAUGUCAUUAAUUUGGUGUCUUGGGGAAUCAGGACUGUUACUUUGAAAAAAUUAGAGUGUUUAAAGCAGGCUCACGCUUGAAUACAUUAGCAUGAAAUAAUGAAAUAGGACGUUUGAUUCUAUUUUGUUGGUUUCUAGGAUUGACGUAAUGAUUAAUAGGGAUAGUUGGGGGCAUUAGUAUUCAAUUGUCAGAGGUGAAAUUCUUGGAUUUAUUGAAGACUAACUACUGCGAAAGCAUUUGCCAAGGAUGUUUUCAUUAAUCAAGAACGAAAGUUAGGGGAUCGAAGACGAUCAGAUACUGUCGUAGUCUUAACCAUAAACUAUGCCGACUAGGGAUCGGAUGAUGUUAAUUUUUUAAUGACUCAUUCGGCGCCUUACG